UACGAAGGGGGCUAGCGUUGCUCGGAAUCACUGGGCGUAAAGCGCACGUAGGCGGAUUGCUAAGUCAGGGGUGAAAUCCUGGAGCUCAACUCCAGAACUGCCUUUGAUACUGGCGACCUUGAGUCCGGGAGAGGUGAGUGGAACUGCGAGUGUAGAGGUGAAAUUCGUAGAUAUUCGCAAGAACACCAGUGGCGAAGGCGGCUCACUGGCCCGGUACUGACGCUGAGGAGCGAAAGUGUGGGGAGCGAACAGG
rnacentral:rRNA from 1 species